rnacentral:rRNA from 1 species
UACGUAGGGGGCAAGCGUUGUCCGGAUUUAUUGGGCGUAAAGAGCGUGUAGGCGGCUUGGCAAGUCCGCUGUGAAAACUUGAGGCUUAACCUCGAGACGUCGGUGGAAACUGCCUGGCUAGAGUCCGGAAGAGGAGAGUGGAAUUCCUGGUGUAGCGGUGAAAUGCGCAGAUAUCAGGAAGAACACCCGUGGCUAAGGCGGCUCUCUAGUACGGUACUGACGCUGAGACGCGAAAGCGUGGGGAGCGAACAGG